rnacentral:rRNA from 1 species
AACGAACGCUGGCGGCAUGCCUAACACAUGCAAGUCGAACGAGACCUUCGGGUCUAGUGGCGCACGGGUGCGUAACGCGUGGGAACCUGCCCUUAGGUUCGGAAUAACUCCCCGAAAGGGGUGCUAAUACCGGAUAAUGUCUUCGGACCAAAGAUUUAUCGCCUUUGGAUGGGCCCGCGUUGGAUUAGCUAGUUGGUAGGGUAAAAGCCUACCAAGGCGACGAUCCAUAGCUGGUCUGAGAGGAUGAUCAGCCACACUGGGACUGAGACACGGCCCAGACUCCUACGGGAGGCAGCAGUGGGGAAUAUUGGACAAUGGGGGAAAGCAUGAUCCAGCAAUGCCGCGUGAGUGAUGAAGGCCUUAGGGUUGUAAAGCUCUUUUAACCGGGAUGAUAAUGACAGUACCGGGAGAAUAAGCUCCGGCUAACUCUGUG